rnacentral:lncRNA from 1 species
UUGACCCAAACCCACUCCCUUUCGGCCACCGUCGUCGUUUGUUCCACUCCCUCUCUCAGCCUUCUCCUUCCUUCACUUAACCUGACCCCCCUUCUUCUUUCUUUUUCCCUUCUUCCAUUUCCUCCGCACUACCACGUAGCCACCAUCGAACGAUGCACGAACCACCCCUUCUCAUCCCCCUUUUUCCUUCCCUUGCUUCAUUGUCCCUCUCCCUCACCCAAGCCGCCCGCCUCGUCUCUUCGCUCCACCACACAUCCCCUCUCAUUUCCCUACCUUUUCCUUUCUCUGCGCACCCCAGCCCCUUCUCCUAAUCUUUCCCCUGACCUCCACAGAGGCCCUCCCUUCUCCUCUCCCUUGGCUUUCUCUCGACUUCAUUGCGCGCCAGUCUUACACCCCGACCACCAUGCACGCCCUUCAUUCUGACCAUCGCUCCUACUGCCAUCGAUCCUCCCUAAUUUUUCCAUUUUUAAUUCUCUAUUUUAUUUUAUUUUACUUUAUUUUUCUUCUUAUUAUUUUUUGUUUCUAAUUUUUUAUUUAUUCUUAUUCAAAUUGUUAUUUUCUUUAGUUUCUUUCUUAGUUUAUUCUAUUUGAUUAUUCUGCUUCUUUUUGUGUUUUUUUUAUAUAAUUUGCUUAUAUUUUUCUUCACUGCUCCCUUAAAUUUGUGUUUUAAUAUUGGUUAUUGCUUUUAUGUCUAAUAUGGUUUGUCUAUUUAGGUUAUUA